GACGAACGCUGGCGGCGUGCUUAACACAUGCAAGUCGAACGGAAAGGCCCCCUUGUGGGGUACUCGAGUGGCGAACGGGUGAGUAACACGUGAGUAACCUACCCUUGACUUUGGGAUAACUUCAGGAAACUGGGGCUAAUACCGGAUAGGAGCUCCUGCUGCAUGGUGGGGGUUGGAAAGUUUCGGCGGUUGGGGAUGGACUCGCGGCUUAUCAGCUUGUUGGUGGGGUAGUGGCUCACCAAGGCUUUGACGGGUAGCCGGCCUGAGAGGGUGACCGGCCACAUUGGGACUGAGAGACGGACCAGACGCCUACGGGAGGCAGCAGUGGGGAAUAUUGCACAAUGGGCGGAAGCCUGAUGCAGCAACGCCGCGUGCGGGAUGACGGCCUUCGGGUUGUAAACCGCUUUCGCCUGUGACGAAGCGUGAGUGACGGUAAUGGGUAAAGAAGCACCGGCUAACUACGUG
rnacentral:rRNA from 1 species